GACGAACGCUGGCGGCGUGCUUAACACAUGCAAGUCGAACGGAAAGGCCCUGCUUUUGUGGGGUGCUCGAGUGGCGAACGGGUGAGUAACACGUGAGUAACCUGCCCUUGACUUUGGGAUAACUUCAGGAAACUGGGGCUGAUACCGGAUAGGAGCUCCUGCUGCAUGGUGGGGGUUGGAAAGUUUCGGCGGUUGGGGAUGGACUCGCGGCUUAUCAGCUUGUUGGUGGGGUAGUGGCUUACCAAGGCUUUGACGGGUAGCCGGCCUGAGAGGGUGACCGGCCACAUUGGGACUGAGAUACGGCCCAGACUCCUACGGGAGGCAGUAGUGGGGAAUAUUGCACAAUGGGCGGAAGCCUGAUGCAGCAACGCCGCGUGCGGGAUGACGGCCUUCGGGUUGUAAACCGCUUUCGCCUGUGACGAAGCGUGAGUGACGGUAAUGGGUAAAGAAGCACCGGCUAACUACGUG
rnacentral:rRNA from 1 species